UCCCCUCAUGAGGAAGCUGCAGACCAUUAUGAGGUCUCCCUUCAGUCUUCUCUUCUUCAGGCUGAACAGACCAAGUGACGUCACCUGCUCCUCAUACAGCUUCCCCUCCAGACCCUUCACCAUCCUUGUGGCCCUCGUUUGAAUGCUCUCUGAGAGCUUAAUGCCUUCUUUAUAUUGUGGCACCCAAAACUGCACACGGCACUUGAGGGAACACAAGUUUGGCAAGAUGAGAUCGACUGAAUAUGAUGCAGUGAAAAAAGAGACUGCCAGUGCUUGAGGAAGGUGAGGGCUGAUCUGCGGGCUUCACAGUGGACAUGAUCUGGCCAACCUGGCAUAGGAGAGUGGGCAGUUGCCUGAGGCUGUGAUAGGGUUUCGGUCAGGGUGGUUGGUACCUGCAGGAAGCACUGUGCAUGCUGGCCACGUGUUCCAUUGUACUGCUGUAGGGCCUGUGGGUGUGCAUCAAGCCCACAAUGGAAAUGCUCUGGAUUAAAAAUGGAAACAACUUUUUCCAAGGCAAA